GCACCGUCUUUGAACCAGUGAGUUGCCUGGCUGUGGCGUCACCGGCCAGGCGUCGGUGCCAGAAUAAUCUGCUUGUUAUAACUGGUGCCUCAUGGCUGUCUCCCUUGUGGCACUUUUACAACAAAGCUACAGAU